UACGUAGGCAGCGAGCGUUGUUCGGAAUUACUGGGCGUAAAGAGUGUGUAGGCGGUGCUCUAAGUUCGGUGUGAAAUCUCCUGGCUCAACUGGGAGGGUGCGCCGGAAACUGGAGUGCUUGAGCGUGGGAGAGGAAAGCGGAAUUCCUGGUGUAGCGGUGAAAUGCGUAGAUAUCAGGAGGAACACCAGUGGCGAAGGCGGCUUUCUGGACGAUAACUGACGCUGAGACGCGAAAGCGUGGGGAGCAAACAGG
rnacentral:rRNA from 1 species